rnacentral:rRNA from 1 species
AGAGUGAACGCUGGCGGCAGGCCUAACACAUGCAAGUCGAGCGGCAGCACAGUCGUAGCAAUACGAUGGGUGGCGAGCGGCGGACGGGUGAGGAAUGCAUCGGAAUCUACCUUGUUGUGGGGGAUAACGUAGGGAAACUUACGCUAAUACCGCAUGAGACCGUAAGGUGAAAGCGGGGGACCUGUGAGGGCCUCGCGCGACAAGAUGAGCCGAUGCCGGAUUAGCUAGUUGGUGGGUAAAGCCCACAAGGCGACGAUCCGUAGCUGGUCUGAGAGGAUGAUCAGCCACACUGGAACUGAGACACGGUCCAGACUCCGUAGGGAGCAGCGAGGUAGGGGAAUAGUAGGACAAGUCGGGCGCGAAGCCUGACUCCAGGCCAGUCGCCGCGUGU